CCUACGGGGGGCUGCAGUGAGGAAUAUUGGUCAAUGGGCGCGAGCCUGAACCAGCCAAGUCGCGUGAGGGAAGACGGUCCUAUGGAUUGUAAACCUCUUUUGUCGGGGAGCAAAAGACGCCACGCGUGGCGUUCCGAGAGUACCCGAAGAAAAAGCAUCGGCUAACUCCGUGCCAGCAGCCGCGGUAAUACGGAGGAUGCGAGCGUUAUCCGGAUUUAUUGGGUUUAAAGGGUGCGCAGGCGGAAGAUCAAGUCAGUGGUAAAAUUGAGAGGCUCAACCUCUUCGAGCCGUUGAAACUGGUUUUCUUGAGUGAGUGAGAAGUAUGCGGAAUGCGUGGUGUAGCGGUGAAAUGCAUAGAUAUCACGCAGAACUCCGAUUGCGAAGGCAGCAUACCGGCGCUCAACUGACGCUGAGGCACGAAGGCCAGGGGAGCGAAAGGGAUUAGAUACCCUUGUAGUC
rnacentral:rRNA from 1 species